AUGAACGCUAGCGACAGGCUUAACACAUGCAAGUCGAGGGGCAGCGGGGGUAAAGGCUUGCCUUUACCUGCCGGCGACCGGCGCACGGGUGAGUAACACGUAUGCAACCUGGCCGUCACAGGAGGAUAACCGGGAGAAAUUCCGCCUAAUACUCCAUAACACUUUCCGGGGACAUCCCCGGGAAGUCAAAGGGUUUCGACCCGGUGACGGAUGGGCAUGCGGCGCAUUAGCUAGUCGGCGGGGUAACGGCCCACCGAGGCGACGAUGCGUAGGGGUUCUGAGAGGAAGGUCCCCCACAUUGGAACUGAGACACGGUCCAAACUCCUACGGGAGGCAGCAGUGAGGAAUAUUGGUCAAUGGGCGGAAGCCUGAACCAGCCAAGUCGCGUGAGGGAAUAAGGCCCUAAGGGUCGUAAACCUCUUUUGCCGGGGAGCAAUGGUCGGCUUGCGAGCGGACAGGGAGAGUACCCGGAGAAAAAGCAUCGGCUAACUCCGUGCCAGCAGCCGCGGUAAUACGGAGGAUGCGAGCGUUAUCCGGAUUUAUUGGGUUUAAAGGGUGCGUAGGCGGAUUGUCAAGUCAGCGGUCAAAAGUCGGGGCUCAACCCCGUGAAGCCGUUGAAACUGGCGGUCUUGAGUGAGCGAGAAGCAGGCGGAAUGCGUGGUGUAGCGGUGAAAUGCAUAGAUAUCACGCAGAACCCCGAUUGCGAAGGCAGCCUGCCGGCGCUCAACUGACGCUGAGGCACGAAAGUGCGGGGAUCGAACAGGAUUAGAUACCCUGGUAGUCCGCACAGUAAACGAUGAAUGCUAGCUGUCCGGUGCGAAUGAGCGCUGGGUGGCACAGCGAAAGCGUUAAGCAUUCCACCUGGGGAGUACGCCGGCAACGGUGAAACUCAAAGGAAUUGACGGGGGCCCGCACAAGCGGUGGAGCAUGUGGUUUAAUUCGAAGCAACGCGAAGAACCUUACCAGGUCUUGACAUCCCGAUGCUAUUCUUAGAGAUAGGAAGUUACUUCGGUACAUCGGAGACAGGUGGUGCAUGGUUGUCGUCAGCUCGUGUCGUGAGAUGUUGGGUUAAGUCCCGCAACGAGCGCAACCCCUACCGACAGUUGCUAACUGGUCAAGCAGAGGACUCUGUCGGGACUGCCGGCGCAAGCUGCGAGGAAGGCGGGGAUGACGUCAAAUCAGCACGGCCCUUACGUCCGGGGCGACACACGUGUUACAAUGGCAGGUACAGAGGGAAGCCACCUGGCGACAGGGAGCGGAACCCGAAAACCUGUCUCAGUUCGGAUCGGAGUCUGCAACCCGACUCCGUGAAGCUGGAUUCGCUAGUAAUCGCGCAUCAGCCAUGGCGCGGUGAAUACGUUCCCGGGCCUUGUACACACCGCCCGUCAAGCCAUGGGAGCCGGGGGUGCCUGAAGGCCGUGACCGCAAGGAGCGGCCUAGGGUAAAACCGGUGACUGGGGCU
rnacentral:rRNA from 1 species